AACGGACGCUGGCGGCAUGCCUAAUACAUGCAAGUCGAACGAUCCCUUCGGGAAUAGUGGCGCACGGGUGCGUAACGCGUGGGAAUCUGCCCUUGGGUUCGGAAUAACGUCGGGAAACUGACGCUAAUACCGGAUGAUGACGUAAGUCCAAAGAUUUAUCGCCCAGGGAUGAGCCCGCGUAGGAUUAGCUAGUUGGUGAGGUAAAGGCUCACCAAGGCGACGAUCCUUAGCUGGUCUGAGAGGAUGAUCAGCCACACUGGGACUGAGACACGGCCCAGACUCCUACGGGAGGCAGCAGUAGGGAAUAUUGGACAAUGGGGGCAACCCUGAUCCAGCAAUGCCGCGUGAGUGAUGAAGGCCUUAGGGUUGUAAAGCUCUUUUACCCAGGAUGAUAAUGACAGUACCGGGAGAAUAAGCCCCGGCUAACUCCGUGACAGCAGCCGCCGUAAGAC
rnacentral:rRNA from 1 species